GACGAACGCUGGCGGCGUGCUUAACACAUGCAAGUCGAACGGAAAGGCCCCUUUGGGGGUACUCGAGUGGCGAACGGGUGAGUAACACGUGAGUAACCUGCCCUUGACUUCGGGAUAACUUCAGGAAACUGGGGCUAAUACCGGAUAGGAAUCCUUGCUGCAUGGUGGGGGUUGGAAAGCUUCGGCGGUUUUGGACGGACUCGCGGCUUAUCAGCUUGUUGGUGGGGUAGUGGCUUACCAAGGCUUUGACGGGUAGCCGGCCUGAGAGGGCGACCGGCCACAUUGGGACUGAGAUACGGCCCAGACUCCUACGGGAGGCAGCAGUGGGGAAUAUUGCACAAUGGGCGGAAGCCUGAUGCAGCAACGCCGCGUGCGGGAUGACGGCCUUCGGGUUGUAAACCGCUUUCAGCAGGGGCGAAGCUUGUGGUGACGGUACCUGCAGAAGAAGCACCGGCUAACUACGUG
rnacentral:rRNA from 1 species